rnacentral:rRNA from 1 species
AACGAACGCUGGCGGCAUGCCUAACACAUGCAAGUCGAACGAGACCUUCGGGUCUAGUGGCGCACGGGUGCGUAACGCGUGGGAACCUGCCCUUAGGUUCGGAAUAACUCCCCGAAAGGGGUGCUAAUACCGGAUAAUUUCUUCGGACCAAAGAUUUAUCGCCUUUGGAUGGGCCCGCUUUGGAUUAGCUAGUUUGUAGGGUAAAAGCCUACCAAGGCGACGAUCCAUAGCUGGUCUGAGAGGAUGAUCAGCCACACUGGGACUGAGACACGGCCCAGACUACUACGGGAGGAAGGAGUGGGGAAUAUUGGAAAAGGGGCGAAAGGCUGAUCCAGCAAUGCCGCGUGAGUGAUGAAGGCAUUAGGGUUGUAAAGCUCUUUUACACGGGAUGAUAAUGACAGUACCGGGAGAAUAAGCUCCGGCUAACUACGUG